CUCCACUACAUCGAUGGGCGGACAUUUUUGAAAUACAAGAAUUGCAUUGGGCUGAACUAGAAAAUGCGCUUGUUCGCUGCUUCCAGCAUUUGUACACGAAUAUACCCCAACACAACAUGCGAUCAAUACCAAACCCAUCGCUUCAGGACCACAACAUUUAAUUUCAAAUGUCUAAGACAUUCCGGAGUGGUUAACUUAGACACAGGAUGCAUAGGCACUAUACAUCACACAGUACAAGCUCUUGCCAAAAAUAGCAAAACCUAAAUUGUGUAAUACAGUUUACAGUGGAAAGUUGUAUCCAACUGCCAAUAUUUUCAUUAGACAUAUUCCGGUCACGCACUACAACUGAAUAUAAUGCAGGAUGAAACUCAGGUCAUUGUUUGUAUGGGACUAUAUGAAAAUCAAUUCCAUCAUUAUGAGUCAAAAAUUGUUUAAAUAAACAUAACAUACUGAAAUCUCCGCUAAACUUAAGACCUGAUCGGACUACCCAACCAGCAGACAAUCAAAAAUGUUGAUAAGAUAGAUAUCUAUGAUAUGACACUUGUCAGUAAAACCUUUGCAAUAAAGCAUGUGGCUAAACAUUUUAAUUUUAAAAAACUUGUUAG